GACUCUGUUCACGGCCGCGGUAUCCUAACCGUGCGAAGGUAGCGUAAUCACUUGUUCUUUAAAUGUGGACUAGUAUGAAUGGCAUCACGAAGGUUAUACUGUCUCCUUUUUCUAAUCAGUGAAACUAAUCUCCCCGUGAAGAAGCGAGGAUAAAACUAUAAGACGAGAAGACCCUAUGGAGCUUUAAACAUUUAUAACACUUGCUAAAUAAAAUACAAAUUUCAGAAUUAUUUAAUCUUUAAGCAACUUGUCUAUAAGUUUUUGGUUGGGGUGACCGCGGAGCAUAAUACAACCUCCAUGUUGAAAGAUCUAUUUCUAAGCUAAGAGCUACACCUCUAAGCAUCAACAUAUUGACAUCCAUUGACCCAAUAUAUUUGAACAACGAACCAAGUUACCCUAGGGAUAACAGCGCAAUCCACUUCAAGAGCUCCUAUCGACAAGUGGGUUUACGACCUCGAUGUUGGAUCAGGGUUUCCCAGUGGUGCAGCCGCUACUAAAGGUUCGUUUGUUCAACGAUUAAACCCUACGUG
rnacentral:rRNA from 1 species